GGAUUCCCCUAGUAAUGGCGAAUGAAGCGGGAACAGCUCAAAUUUGAAAUCUCCGUCGCCUGCGACGGCGAAUUGUAGUUUCGAGAAGCACUUUCUAGGCGAGCCCGGAGCCGUCCAAGUUGCUUGGAACAGCACGUCAUAGAGGGUGACAACCCCGUCUGUGGCGGAGCCGGCCGCUCACGAUGUGCUUUCGACGAGUCGGGUUGUUUGGGAAUGCAGCCCAAAAUGGGUGGUAAACUCCAUCUAAAGCUAAAUAUUGGCACGAGACCGAUAGCGAACAAGUACCGUGAGGGAAAGAUGAAAAGCACUUUGAAAAGAGAGUUAAAAAGUACGUGAAACCGUUAAAAGGGAAACGAAUGGGGUUAGCAAUGCGCUCCGCGAGAUUCAGCCGGCGGGAGAGCUGGUCGGGCGGUCCGCGGAUCCGAAUGGACCGCUGCCGUCAGUCACGGAACCUCCGCCGUCGCACUUCUCGCGAGCGCGCGCCAACGUCGGUUGGGACCGGGUCUCAAAGUCGCCGGGAAGGUAGGCGUAGUCCCUCGGGGCUACGCUGUUAUAGACCGGCGUCCUCAUGGCCCGGGCCCGACCGAGGAGCCGCGGCGUGUGCCUCUUCUGGCUGGGGUCCCGUCGGUCCGGUCGGUAGUCGAAUGCGGUGGACUGCAUGCAGUGCGCCGCGACCGCUGCCGGUCGCGCCGGUGGUGACCUCACACCACGCGCCCAGGACGUUGGCGGUCACAUGGCCUCAUCCGACCCGUCUUGAAACACGGACCAAGGAGUCUAACAUGUGCGCGAGUCUUCGAGUGAUCGAAACUCCCAGGCAGAAUGAAAGUGAAGGUGGCCUCGGCCGCUGAGGUGAGAACCCCUCCCCCGGGAGGGGCGCAUCAUCGACCGACCUAUUCUACUCUUAGGAAGGUUUGAGUAAGAGCGCAUCUGUUGGGACCCGAAAGA
rnacentral:rRNA from 1 species